rnacentral:misc_RNA from 1 species
AGAAACUAUAACUUAAAAUUGAAGGGAAACAUAAUGAGAUUGAGCUGUCAUUAUGUUUCACUUGAACAGAGAAGAAAAAGAAAACAGAAUGAGCCAAGCUAAACACAUUUAUAAAUGGCAAAGUUGUGUAAGCAAGGGUCCUUAACAAAACUUCUAAAAUAAUAUCCCAACAAAACUUAAACUUAACUUAGUAUAAAGAUGACAGUAGCUGAAUACUCAAAAUCCAAACACAACAAGGAAAACAGUAACACAAAACUAAUAUCUUAGGCCUUGUCAGCUUUGGCAGCAGUAGCAGCAGCUUGCCCACGAAGACGACCAGUCCUCCUU